rnacentral:rRNA from 1 species
AAAUGAAUUGACGGGGACCCGCACAAGCAGCGGAGCAUGUGGUUUAAUUCGAAGCAACGCGAAGAACCUUACCAGGGCUUGACAUGCCCCUGAUCCCACUAGAGAUAGUGGUUCAUCUUCGGAUGCAGGGGACACAGGUGGUGCAUGGUUGUCGUCAGCUCGUGUCGUGAGAUGUUGGGUUAAGUCCCGUAACGAGCGCAACCCCUGUUUUUAGUUGCUAACAAGUUAAGUUGAGCACUCUAAAGAGACUGCCGAUGAUAAAUCGGAGGAAGGUGGGGAUGACGUCAAAUCAUCAUGCCCUUUAUGUCCUGGGCUACACACGUGCUACAAUGGUCGGUACAACGAGGAGCAACACAGCGAUGUGAAGCAAAUCUCUUAAAGCCGAUCUCAGUUCGGAUUGCAGGCUGCAACUCGCCUGCAUGAAGCCGGAGUUGCUAGUAAUCGCGGAUCAGAAUGUCGCGGUGAAUGCGUUCCCGGGUCUUGUACACACCGCCCGU